AAUGCGCACCGGAUUUAAGUGACCCCAUGUCAGCUGCCAGAUAUGCAGCUGAGGAAAUAUCAGAAGCAAAAGAUGGGUUUGUUCGAUAUUUGUCAGAUGAAGAAGGUAUGACCACUCACUCCUACCAAAACAAGCAAAAGAACAAAAACAAAGACUGCUUAGUAAGUACAGAAUAAUCUUUCUGAAACCACAGGGAACUUCUACCUCAGCUACAUUGACCCUGUGGUCAUUGGUAGACAAGCUUUCCAUUCAACGAAUGACUUCAUAGGUGGAGCACUGGGUUCCUUCAGGGACACACUGUGUGCUGUUGUGGAUACGUCACUGGAAACCAUACAAGAUAUUAAAAAAGGUAUGUAAUUUAUACUUGAAUCCUUUUUUUCUGACUCAAGACUGUUUUUCUCUUGUUUCACAUACAAUUAAUGAAUGAAUAAAUCUGUCUUUUUUUAAAUACUUGAACUAAACUUUAACUCCCUCGCUGGUUUGUAACUGCCUGGUUGAAUCAUUAAUUAAUUCAUGCAGAAUUUACUUACAAAUGCACUUAUUUUUCUUUUUUUUUCAUCCAGGAAAAACUGAUCUUAGCUAUAUUGACCCUGUAAUGAUAGGCAGAGGUGUCUUUAAUGCUACUAAUGAGUUCAUGUGUGGAGUGGCGAGCUACAUCCAGGAUGUGCUCUGUUCCAUACUGGACACUACACUGAAUGUAGUGAAAGGUAUUUACGCUCUCUCGUUUAACCUAUAACCUCUUAAAAACGACAUAAACAAUAUAUCAAUUUAGGGAGUUUGCUUUGCAUAUUUUCUGUCCUUAUUCACUUCCUGUUUGUGUUUCUCAGGAACCGUCGACAUUAGCUUCAUGGACCCUGUGGUAAUAGGAAGAAAUAUAUUCCACGUCACAAAUGACACAGCGAGUGGAAUAUUUGGCUACAUCCAGGACGUGUUCUGUGCCAUCGUAGACAUGAUAGUGGAUGUAUUCAAAGGAACCACUGACAUUAGCUUCAUUGACCCCGUGGUUAUUGGCAGAAAUGCCUUCAGUGUUACUAAUGACUUUGUGAGUGGAAUAUUUGGCUACAUCCAGGGCGUGCUCUGCGCAGUCUUCGAUGUCAUACUGGACACAUUAAAAGAUAUCCAGCAUAGUUUGGGAUUUAGCCCCAUGUCAGUUUUUAAGUCAGCAGCAGAAAUCACCAAAGAGCAGACAAACCUGCUUGUGAGCUACAUCUCCUCAACACUGAUUGGUGAACAAGGAAUCGUGCCUGAAGUGUUCAUCGACCCAAUGAAAGUUGUUGAAGAUGCUGUGUCGGAGCUCACAGACAAGAAGGACUUAUUCUUAGCUUACAUGUCAAGCAUGAUUGUUGGUGAUCAGGGGGAACCUGUCACCACCCCAGGUGUAAAUGUAGUAACAGAAAAAGAUGAAGCUGUACCUUCCCCAUCUGAUAUCAAUUUAGUAAGAAGGAAAGGGGAAUUUCUGCCUCCAUUUGAAAAAGAACUUCGCAGUGAUAUGUCUUGACUCAGUCAUCAUGUUUUUCUGUGUAACUGUGCAUGACCAUGUGUGUCCUUCAGACUUGCAUUCCUUUGUUGCUCUUUCUCGCAUUUUUUGUGCCACUGACUGGUUGCCUCCUGUUUUUGACCAUUUACACUGUUGUGAUAUGUGUAUAAUUGGAUUGUCCAGACUGGAUUACAUGUGUUUUUGUAUACUUUUUACCUGCGCAUGUAACUAUUAAACACAACACAUGUUGCAAAGUUAGCAUUCACAAUAGUUUUAUGCUGUAUUUACCAUUGUAGCCAGUUUUGAUACAUCAUGUUCCUUUUCUCUGUGGUUUUAUAAAAACUAUUUGAUCCAGCCAGCUCCUUCAUUAAGAUCAUCACAGCACUGUAGCUUAUUUUGAGCGAGUACUCUGCUGUAAUGAGUGGCUAAACAUAUAGCUCAGCCGCAGUUUGUACCAGCUACUUCAAGAAGUUACAAGGCAUUUAAAAAACACUUUAAAAGAAGCUAAAUAGAAAAGAAACGAAAUGUAAAAUAAUUCCUGCUUCAAUUUAUGAAGCAAUUUUAAAAAUCCACUAACUGCAUCUGUGGUGUAUAUCAUGCUGUAAUGUUGCUAUGAUUUUGCACCAUUAAAAUCACCCUAUAAAGAUUUGAAGAUCACAUAAGAGGGAUGACAAGGUUC
rnacentral:lncRNA from 1 species